AUGAUUCUCCUGCAGUAUAGGUUCUCAACCUAGAGAUCAUAACCCUGCCCUUCCUGUAUUCUUGAAAGUGAGGGCAUUCUAGCUCCAUCUUGGCUAGAUGGCAGGGGGAGGAGUCCUGAUGUAGAAAAAGUUGAGAACCACUGUCUUAGAGAAGUUUCUUGUAUGUCAAUAUUAGUGAUUUCUGUUUAAUUCUUUCAUCUUGCCACUUUUCUUCAUAGCUUUCAUGCCUAAUGGUACCUCUCUAACAGGAUUGGCCACAUCGGGGGUGGGGGAUAGGUGGACUAUUUCAUGGAUUCAAUAAAGGUGUCCAAUUGUUCAGCAACAGUGGCUAUUAAGACUAUUGCUUUUCCUGAAGUGGUAUGUUUGUACAAGGAAGAUUAGGGACCUUAAGAUAGAGGCUGUCAGGUUUUCACAGACUCACCCCUGUCGACACUACAAACAAAUGUCUAACUGCCUCACUUGGGUGUGGAAAAUCCACACGCCUGAACAACGUAGUUAUAUCAACCUAACCACUGAUCUGUAGACAGUGAUAUGUCGACGGGAGGGCUUCUCCUGUUGACAUAGUUACAACCUGCUGGGGAGGUGAAGUACCUAUACUGAUGUUAGAAGCUCUCCCAUUGGUGUAGGCAGUGUCUUCACUAAGCACUACAUUGGCACAGCUGCACUGGUGCAGCUGUGCUGCUGUAAAUGUAGACACUCCCUCAGACAGCUCAGUUUCGACAGAAGAGUGUCUAAAGGUGAAUAUGUGAUGGGAGUUGCUGUAGCUCAUCUUCACACACAAAGAAGUCUACUAUAGAACUAAUAGGUUUUAGGCUCUAGAAACGUAAAAAGGCUAAUAUUAAACUUGUGCCAGUUGUUACAGUAUUAGGGGACUAAUUUUUUAAAAUACAAGUUAUGCACAACUAAAGGCAGUUUGUUGCAUGUGCAAAUGACCAGUUUGGUACAUAACUAGCCCUUUGGGGAGUGUGCAAACACAUGGUUUGGUAAUAUUUGCAUGUGCACAAACUAAGCACACAAUUGUGCAUGUGCUCUUGAAAAAUUAACCUCUAAAUAUCAACAUGUUUCUGCUAUAAGCCUGCAUGGAUAUGUCUUAACAGUGAGGGGAAUCUUAAGGCUUGUAGCAGUUAUGGGUGUGAUUAUGGAGAGUGGAAGGGAAACUGUGACUAAAGCAGGUCUACACUACAGAGUUACAUCAGUAUAACUGGUUUCAGAGUAGCAGCCGUCAUAGCCCUGGUCUACACUAGGACUUUAGGUCGAAUUUAGCAGCGUUAAAUUGAUGUAAACCUGCACCCGUCCACAUGAUGAAGCCCUUUAUUUCGACUUAAAGGGCUCUUAAAAUCGAUUUCCUUACUUCACCCCUGACAAGUGGAUUAGUGCUUAAAUCGGCCUUGCUGGGUCGAAUUUGGGGUACUGUGGACACAGUUCAACGGUAUUGGCCUCCGGGAGCUAUCCCAGAGUGCUCCAUUGUGACCUCUCUGGACAGCACUCUCAACUCAGAUGCACUGGCCAGGUAGACAGGAAAAGAACUGCGAACUUUUGAAUCUCAUUUCCUGUUUGGCCAGCGUGGCAAGCUGUAGGUGACCAUGCAGAGCUCAUCAGCAGAGGUGACCAUGAUGGAGUCCCAGAAUUGCAAAAGAGCUCCAGCAUGGACUGAACGGGAGGUACGGGAUCUGAUCGCUGUAUGGGGAGAGGAAUCCGUGCUAUCAGAACUGCGUUCCAGUUUUUGAAAUGCCAAAACCUUUGUCAAAAUCUCCCAGGGCAUGAAGGACAGAGGCCAUAACAGGGACCCGAAGCAGUGCCGCGUUAAACUUAAGGAGCUGAGGCAAGCCUACCAGAAAACCAGAGAGGCGAAUGGCCGCUCCGGGUCAGAGCCCCAAACAUGCCGCUUCUAUGAUGAGCUGCAUGCCAUUUUAGGGGGUUCAGCCACCACUACCCCAGCCGUGUUGUUUGAUACCUUCAAUGGAGAUGGAGGUAACACGGAAGCAGGUUUUGGGGACUAAGAAGAUGAUGAUGAGGUUGUAGAUAGCUCACAGCAAGCAACCGGAGAAACCGGUUUUCCCAACAGCCAGGAACUGUUUCUCACCCUGGACCUGGAGCCAGUACCCCCCCCGAACCCACCCAAUGCUGCCUCCUGGACCCGGCAGGCAGAGAAGGGUCCUCCGCUGCAUGUGUUUCAAUGAUCACAGGAUCUUCUCCUUCCCAGAGGCUAGUGAAGAUUAGAAAGGAAAAAAAACGCACUUGUGAUGAAAUGUUCUCUGAGCUCAUGCUGUCCUACCACACUGACCGAGCACAGACGAAUGCGUGGAGUGCAGGAAAGCACAAAAUGACCGGGAGGAGAGAUGAUGGGCUGAAGAGAGUAAGUGGCGGGCUGAAGAGAGGGCUGAAGCUCAAAUGUGGCGGCAGCGUGAUGAGAGGAGGCAGGAUUCAAUGCUGAGGCUGCUGGAGGACCAAACCAGUAUGCUCCAGUGUAUGGUUGAGCUGCAGCAAAGGCAGCUGGAGCACAGACUGCCACUACAGCCCCUGUGUAACCAACCGCCCUCCUCCCCAAGUUCCAUAGCCUCCACACCCAGACGUGCAAGAACGCGGUGGGGGGGCCACCGGCCAACCAGCCACUCCGCCACAGAGGAUUGCCCAAAAAAAAGAAGGCUGGCAUUCAAUAAAUUUUAAAGUUGUAAACUUUUAAA